rnacentral:rRNA from 1 species
CUGGAAGUAAAAAGUUGGUACAAAGUUUCCGUAGGUGAACCUGCGGAGGGAUCAUUA